rnacentral:rRNA from 1 species
GGGCCCGCACAAGCGGUGGAGCAUGUGGUUUAAUUCGAAGAUACGCGCAGAACCUUACCAACACUUGACAUGUUCGUCGCGACUUUGAGAGAUCAAAGUUUUCGGUUCGGCCGGACGAAACACAGGUGCUGCAUGGCUGUCGUCAGCUCGUGUCGUGAGAUGUUGGGUUAAGUCCCGCAACGAGCGCAACCCUCACUUUUAGUUGCCAUCAUUAAGUUGGGCACUCUGAAAGAACUGCCAGUGAUAAGCUGGAGGAAGGUGGGGAUGACGUCAAGUCCUCAUGGCCCUUACGUGUUGGGCUACACACGUGCUACAAUGGUAUCUACAACAGGAAGCAAGACUGCGAAGUUAAGCAAAUCCUUAAAAAAUACCUCAGUUCGGAUUGCACUCUGCAACUCGAGUGCAUGAAGCUGGAAUUACUAGUAAUCGU